GAUUUUAAAGGAGGCACAUGGGAAAUGCCUAAAAAAGUAGAAACCCAGGGGAAGCAGAAAAAGAGCAGGUUGGAAUGGACCAUCUGUGAAAACUUUCUGACUAUCACAUUGGUGUAAAAUCUGCUGAGCCCAUGUGGAACUUCUGAGGGAAAAGAUGAGUGCUUCUGCUCUGAAACCCAUGCAUCUCCCACCUGGCAUAAGCAAAAAUCUUUGUUAAGUUUUUGGAUCAAAGGACCUUUUCACAGUAAUUCCCCAAAUGGAGUUUUUCUGCCGAGCACUGCAUUGCCGUGUAGUAAUACCACAAGAGACCACUGAGAGGGGAUCUCUACAAGUAUCCAAAGGAGGCUGCCAAGAGGACGGAGCCAGGCUGUUCUCAGUGGCACCCAGCAGUUGGACAGGAGGUCCUGGGCAGAAACUGCUGCACAGGAAAUUCCACCUGAACAUGAGGAAGAACUUCUUUACUGUGCAGGUGACCAAGCGCUGGAUCAGAUUAACCAGAGAAGUUGUGGAGUCUCCCUCACUGGAGAUAUUCAAGAUCUGUCUGGACUCAGUGCUGUGCCCUGUGCUCUAGGAAGGCCCUGCUUGAGCAGGGUGGUUGGACCAGAUGACCAACUGUGGUCUCUUCCAACCUCAUCCAUUCUGUGACUCUGUGAACACAAAGAAGAAAAUAUUCCAACUAUAAAUUACAUAGAUCAGCCUCAUGGAUACCCUGUUCUUAAUAUUACAUCUGGAAACUAUUAAAGAAAAUGGAUUUCUCUUCAGGGAUGUUUUAUUGACAAUAAUUUGGACAGAUUUUAAAAUGUUUCCCUACAGCUGCUAGCACCAGCCAAGUUUUUGUGUGAAAAUAACUGGGUUUUUAAAAUAUAGAUGUAUAUCUGUGCUCAGGAUUAAUCUUUUUAGAGAACAAAAAUACUUGGAAACCCUUACAAA